GGACUUCCGGAGGCGGCGCCAGCGGUCGAUGGCGGAUUUCCUCGGUUAGAGGGAAUCAGCGCCACGAAAAAUAGGGUCGAAUCCCGCUUCGGCGCAGCGGGGGACCCCUAAAAAUCACAGGCGGGGGAAGCCUGUGAACCUGGGACCCAGCGGGCACAUUUGGCGCUCCCCCCCAACCCGGCAAAAAGCCCAGAAACGGGCUUGAAAUCGGAGCGGGGGAGAGCGCUGUGCUGUGGGCUGUCUGCUCGUUCGUGGUGUGAAGCCGCAAGCUGUUGACCGGAGAGCGCUGCCUUUCUUCCUUAAAAUCCGGACCUGGAAAUCAACGAUCCGUGAGUAGGAUAUACUCAAAUUGGAACUGUACAAAUUGAAAACUGAAAUUAGGCUGAAAACGGAAGGAGGUUUAAAAAUGAAGUCAGCCUCCUUUAUUGUAGAUAAAUUUAAAGCAUUGAACUUGAAAGCGGAAGCAUUUGGAAAGUACGUUUCAGCGGACUUUAAUCCAAUCAUCUAACCUGGACUUUUCCCUCUAUAAGUUGAGGGGAAAAGGGGGAGAUCUCUGGAGGUGAUUUCUUUAUAAAGAGUGGAAAAGAAGAGAUUAAACCAUCACUCAAUUUCCUGGGAAAGGAUUCUCCAGAUUCUAGGAAAGAAAGAGAGGUACUGUCUUGUAAUAUAUUUUGACAGCUAGUCCUGCAUUGGAAAUAAAAGUUGGGAUAGUUUUUGUGAAUAUAUAUCUCCUGGUCCUAAGUUGAAAAUUGUGAUAGACUGUUUUCCUUCUGAACAAACUAGGGGGGCUUAAAAAGGAAAUUAAAGUAUCCAAGAACUUUCAUGACUGUUACAGUGUCCCCCUAGUGGAACUUGGAACUGUUGCAACUUGUUAUAAUUGUAACUGUAGCAGGCUUGAGGAGUUCUCACACUGCUUGGGAGGAAAUUUCCACUGUUCAAUUCUAACUACGUGUCUGACCUUGAGAAUUAUCUAAGGAAUGGCAGAUAAAGAGAAGGCGGAUGCUUCGACUACAAGAUCGGGGAGGAAUAUUCGCACAGAAGAAGGAUUACAAAGGAGAGCUUCGGCCUCUGGCCCUUCUGGAACCUCAACAACAGCCUCAUCGGCACAAUCAAAGGUAAAAAGUUCGACAAGUGAAGAAGCCUUUGCUCAAGUUUUGGCCAAAGUUAAUGAAUCUUUGAAUAAAAUAAGUCAACAAGUAGCAGAGGCUUCUGAUAAGAUUGACCAAAAUACAAUAAGUAUCAAUCAGAAUACAGCAAGUAUAAAUAAUUUGGGCCAAAAAGUAAAUACUAACACAGAGACUAUUCAGAAAUUAUUAGAGGAAUCGGCCUCAAUUCGCCAGAUUGCUGAAGAGGCUAAAGAAAUUGCUACAACUUCUGCCAUGGAUGUUAAGGAGGUUCAAGAGGAAUUACCAACACUGCAUAAACAAUUGGAAGACCAUAAACUAACUCUGUCUAUGAUAGAUUUGAAGGAGAAGCAAGUGAAUCUUCGGGUCAGAUCAGUACCAGAGGUGGAAAAGGACAAUUUAGCUGAAUUUCUCACGCAGGAAUUUUUGGACUUUUGGGAUCCAGAACUGGCAAAAGACAGUUUCACAAUAGUAAAUGCUUUUAGACUUGGGAGAAGAGGAGAGAAGAAGGUGAGAGACUGCCUGAUUACUUUUAGAACAAAAGAAGAGAGGGAUAAGAUUUUGGGCCUACAUUUCAAGAAGACAUUGGAAAUUCAUCGGAAAAGGGUGGAAAUAUUCAAAGAUAUUCCGAAAUAUCUUCUGGAUCUCAGAUCAAAAUAUAAAGACCUGGUUAUCCUGCUGAGAAGGAACAACAUCAAUUUCAGGUGGGAACUUCCUCAAGGCCUGUCUUUUAGCUACAAGGGAAAGAAGAGGAAAAUAAGAUCGGAAGACGAUAAAGAUAAAUUUUACAGGGACCACGGAGAAGACUUACAAAAAGAACUAUUUCCGGAACCAAAAGACCGUUCGAAAGAAGGGAUACCACCGACGGACGAGGAACAGGCACUAGGUGCAGUAGGAGGAGAACCAAAACAAUAACAUCAUGGCCCUGCAACUUUUAACAUGGAACUGCCGGGGUUUGAAUCCCCUCAGAAGAGGAAAUCAGUAUUUCAUAUAUUAAAAAAGGAACAAUUAGACCUAAUUUGUUUACAAGAAACACAUAUAACAAGAUUACACAGGAAAUUGUUGAUAAAUAAAAGACUUGGUCAGGAAUUUAUUUCGUCAGAUAAAGUUAAAAAGAGAGGGGUUGUGAUCUACGCAAAAGACAAUUUAUCACCAAAAUUUGUUUUUAAGGAUGACCAAGGAAGAUUUGUAGCAAUUGAAAUUCAAACACAAGGAGAAAAAUUUUUGAUUGUAGGAGUUUACGCACCAAAUGACGGGAAAUCUGAUUUUUUUAAGAAGUUGCAUGAGACCUUGAUGGACCAUAUGGAUUACAACAUAAUUUUGAUGGGAGACAUGAAUGGAGUGGUAUCUACUUACAUGGACAAGGCACAAAAACAGGUAGUCACCAAAGAUGGUAGACUACCGAAAACCUUUUUUGAUAUGACAGACAACUUGGACUUAGUGGAUAUUUGGAGAAUUAGAAACCCCUUGGCAAAAGAGGGAACUUUCUUUUCUGAAGCCAAAAUGACUUGGACAAGAAUUGACCAAAUUUGGAUAACUAGAGGAAUGGCACCAAAGACAAGAAAGGUGGAAAUCUGCCCGAAAAUUUGCUCCGACCAUAACGCUGUUAAGAUGGAAAUGAGACUAAUGCCAACUGGCUCCUUCAGAUGGAAGAUGAAUGACACCUUAUUUAGAGAUGAAGAAUUUCUUAAGAAGGCCCAAAAAACUCUAAGAGACUACUUUGAGAUAAAUCUUAGUUCCAACGUGGAGAAAAGAGUAAUCUGGGAUGCAAGUAAAGCUGUUAUGAGAGGGUUCUUAAUACAACAGAAUGCGAUAAAGAAAAGAACUCAAAAUGAGAAGAAGGAUAAAAUUAUGAACAAAAUGAAUGAAUGUGAAAGAAGAUUGCGAGUAAAUCCCAAAUCUCAAGAGAUUUUGAGAGAGUUAAAGUUAUAUCAAGUACAAUAUAUGAAAAUAAUGAAUCAGGAAAUAGAAUGGAAAAUUAAACAAAUGAGACAAAAGACUUUUGAAUCGGCCAAUAAAUGUGGUAAACUGUUGGCAUGGC